GUGAGAACACUGCUAACCCAGAAGAACAUUAAGGUGAAGACCACUGCUAACACAGAAGAACAUUAAGCCUCGUCUGAAUUUUGCUAAAACACACCUUGAUGAUCCUCAAACCUUUUGGGAGAAUGUUCUGUGGAUUGAUGAGUCGAAAGUGGAACUGUUUGGAAGACAGGAGUCCCGUUACAUCUGACGUAAACCAAACACAGAAUUCCACAAAAAGAUCAUCGUACCUACGGUUAAGUAUGGUGGUGGCAGUGUGAUGGUGUGGGGAUGCUCUGCUGCUUCAGGGCCUGGGCAACUUGCAAUAAUUGAGGGAAACAUGAAUUCUGCUCUCUACCAGAAAACCCAAAAGGACAAAAAUCUUUACAUGUAAACAGCCAGCAUCUUGAUCCUGUAGUUUUUAAGGAGUUUCCUAAUGAGCUGAAUAAUGUCCCAAGAACAUACUCAAUAUCUUAUCUUAUACAGUAUAAACAUGAAUAUAGAUACACUGAUAUCAAUGGCAAUACUGCAUAUAUUCUGAUGUAUUUCUAGCCAAGGUUAAUCUAGGUCACUGGUUUUCAGGUAAACAAGUAGCAUCUCGAAUCCGUACGUGCCUCGCACAAGCUCCUCUCCAGCUUGUUAAAACAUCAAACUCGAAAAAAAAACUGCACUAACAGGACAAUGUCAGCAACGGCUUCUGAAAUAAUGACUUCGACCAAGAGAGCUGAAUUAUUAACGCUCUGCUCCAAAUCCUGUCACUGCUUGCUGGCCAAAAAAUUACGUUAAGCUGAUGGUACAUUACUUUCUGGCUUACAUACAUUUUCAUCAACCACUGUCCAGCACCUUGUUUUUCUUGUCUUUUUUUUUUACCUCCUGAUCGAUGAAAUCCUCUUCGUUUUGUCUGAAUUGUUCAUCCAUUGAGUCGUUUAAACAAACUCGAGCACGCUAAUGAUAUGUGACCCAUUUGAGGGGGUUUUGGAGAUGAGGAGCACAUUGCCUAUGAGCGGAUCUAGAGAGUUCUUAUGUUGUAUUUUCGCGUUUGGAAAUUUUCCUGAAUUUUCGAUCGGCUCCAAAAUUCUUGGUACACCUCAAGAGAUUGGCUAAAGGUAAAAGUACACACUGUAUAAAAUGGACAAUACUCACACUUAUGAAUACAAGCCUGGAGCAGAUACACGUUUGCCCGAAACAAGACAACCUGAUCCCUAUGAAUCUUUUAAUAAGAUAUUGACCCGAAACAUACACCUGAAUCUAUACAGCGAGGUGUUGCAGGUAAACAAAACCCCGUAUUGUUCGACGGCUUCGGACCUGUGGUGUAAAUCGAAGAAGAAUACCCACAUGCUCGCAUCUAAGAAUAUAACAUACGGUAGAUUGAAAUACCCUGCAUGGAAGACUGGACCCAAAUCCCUCAACAAACAUCUCCAACCUUGUUAGACGUUACAAUAGGACAUGCGCUCGUUUCUCUGUAGGCGGGGCUUCGCAGAGUAAUAACUGUGGUAGUGCCAAUACUUUUGAAACCGACGUUUUUGACAAAAGAUCUUAAGAAAACCUUUCGUGCUCGCCAUAUUACACGCGUCCUCGUAAGUUUACGCUCGAAACGUCACGUCUGAUUCGUUUCAUUUCAGACGGUAUUUUCAUUCUUUUUAAUGAGGGGUGCCAAUAAUUUCGGAGCGUAAUGAAUGCCUGUGUAUAGAGAACCGGUGAGCAAAAUAUGCAUGUGCAAACACACACACACACACACACACACACAUAAAGAAAAUGUCAGAAUUAACUACUGUUCAGCCCCAGGGACAAUGCUGAUAACAUAUCAACAAAACAACAGCCAAAAGCCACCAUCAAUCCCUCUGUAAACACGUCUCUCUCUCUCUCUCUCUCUCUCUCUCUCACACACACACCCACAAUCCCUCCUUUUUCUCUCCCUCUUCCUUUCUCUCGCUCUGUUCUUCCACUCGCUGCCAAAUUGCAUCCUUUCUGCCGGCUCCCAAUUAGACUGAUUACGAGGCUGCAACC
ensembl:lncRNA